rnacentral:rRNA from 1 species
UACGUAGGGAGCAAGCGUUGUCCGGAAUCAUUGGGCGUAAAGCGCGCGUAGGCGGCCCUGUAAGUCCGUUGUGAAAGUCAAAGGCUCAACCUUUGAAAGCCGAUGGAUACUGCAGGGCUAGAGUCCGGAAGAGGCGAGUGGAAUUCCUGGUGUAGCAGUGAAAUGCGUAGAUAUCAGGAGGAAUACCGAUGGCGAAGGCAGGUCUCUGGGCUGACACUGACGCUCAUGCACGAAAGCGUGGGGAGCAAACAGG